rnacentral:rRNA from 1 species
UACGUAGGGGGCAAGCGUUGUCCGGAAUCAUUGGGCGUAAAGAGCGUGUAGGCGGCCAGAUAGGUCCGUUGUGAAAACUCGAGGCUCAACCUCGAGACGCCGACUGGAAACCAUUUGGCUAGUAGUCCGGAAGAGGAGAGUGGAAUUCCUGGUGUGGCGGUGAAAUGACGUAGAUAUCUGGAGGAACACCGGUGGCGAAGGCGGCAUCCUGGACCGAGACUGACACUGAGGAGCGAAAGCCAGGGGAGCAAACGGG